UACGUAGGGGCCUAGCGUUGUCCGGAUUUAUUGGGCGUAAAGAGCUCGUAGGCGGUUAGGCAAGUCGGAUGUGAAAUCCCGUGGCUCAACUACGGAAGUGCACCCGAAACUGCUUAACUUGAGUCCCGGAGAGGAAGGCGGAAUGCUUGGUGUAGAGGUGAAAUUCGUAGAUAUCAAGCGGAACACCGGUGGCGAAGGCGGCCUUCUGGACGAGGACUGACGCUGAGACGCGAAAGCGUGGGGAGCAAACAGG
rnacentral:rRNA from 1 species